CACGUAGGGGGCAAGCGUUGUCCGGAUUUACUGGGCGUAAAGGGCGCGUAGGCGGUCAGCACAAGUCAGUUGUGAAAUCUCCGGGCUUAACUCGGAAAGGUCAACUGAUACUGUGCGACUAGAGUGCAGAAGGGGCAACUGGAAUUCUCGGUGUAGCGGUGAAAUGCGUAGAUAUCGAGAGGAACACCUGCGGCGAAGGCGGGUUGCUGGGCUGACACUGACGCUGAUGCGCGAAAGCCAGGGGAGCGAACGGG
rnacentral:rRNA from 1 species